rnacentral:rRNA from 1 species
GAUGAACGCUGGCGGCGUGCCUAAUACAUGCAAGUCGAGCGAACAGAUAAGGAGCUUGCUCCUUUGACGUUAGCGGCGGACGGGUGAGUAACACGUGGGUAACCUACCUAUAAGACUGGAAUAACUCCGGGAAACCGGGGCUAAUGCCGGAUAACAUUUAGAACCGCAUGGUUCUAAAGUGAAAGAUGGUUUUGCUAUCACUUAUAGAUGGACCCGCGCCGUAUUAGCUAGUUGGUAAGGUAACGGCUUACCAAGGCAACGAUACGUAGCCGACCUGAGAGGGUGAUCGGCCACACUGGAACUGAGACACGGUCCAGACUCCUACGGGAGGCAGCAGUAGGGAAUCUUCCGCAAUGGGCGAAAGCCUGACGGAGCAACGCCGCGUGAGUGAUGAAGGUCUUCGGAUCGUAAAACUCUGUUAUUAGGGAAGAACAAAUGUGUAAGUAACUGUGCAUGUCUUGACGGUACCUAAUCAGAAAGCCACGGCUAACUACGUG